AUGAGGUUCUCCGCUCAGCUGCUGGGGUUGCUUCUGCUCUGCAUCCCUGCUUCCAGGGGAGCUAUUGUGAUGACUCAGACCCCAGCCUCCCUGCUCAUCGUCCCAGGAGAGCCGGCCACCAUCUCCUGCAAGGCCAGUGAGAGUGUCGUACACGAUAAUGGAAAUACCUACUUGCAUUGGUACCGGCAGAUACGAGGCCAGACUAUUGAGCCCCUGAUCUAUGACGUUUCCAAAAGGGCCGCUGGAGUGCAUGAGAAGUUCAGUGGCAGUGGGUCCGUGUCGGAUUUCACUCUGAAAAUCAGCAAGGUGGAGGCUGAGGACGCUGCAGUGUAUUACUGUCAGCAGUACAGAAAAUAUCCUUCCACAGUGGUACAGCCCUGA